rnacentral:lncRNA from 1 species
UGCAUUAAUAAAUACAAUAAAAGGCACAAGGAAAUGGAUGGUCAUAGAGGGUGCAGGAGAGCCAGAAGAAUUCAGUGUCCAGUAGCAAGAGAAAGAGAGAAUUUGAGGAAGGUGAUUGUAGAAGUCUGAAGAUGCAGCACUUUGCUCUGUAACUACUGAGGAUGGAUUUUUGAAAGGUCCCCGGAGAGAAAGAGAAACAGAGGAUUUAGCAUAUAGCUUUCUUCUCAACAUUCUGAUUAUGGACAUUUGUGGUUGA